rnacentral:rRNA from 1 species
GUGUCAGCAGCCGCGGUAAGACAGAGGGUGCAAACGUUGCUCGGAAUUACUGGGCGUAAAGCGCGUGUAGGCGGAUUUGCAAGUCGGAUGUGAAAUCCCUGGGCUCAACCCAGGAACUGCACUCGAAACUGUGAGUCUUGAGUAUCGGAGAGGAAAGCGGAAUUCCUGGUGUAGAGGUGAAAUUCGUAGAUAUCAGGAGGAACACCGGUGGCGAAGGCGGCUUUCUGGACGAUAACUGACGCUGAGACGCGAAAGCGUGGGGAGCAAACAGGAUUAGAUACCCUGGUAGUCCACGCUGUAAACGAUGAACACUAGGUGUCGUGGGUAUUGACCCCCGCGGUGCCGUAGCUAACGCAUUAAGUGUUCCGCCUGGGAAGUACGGUCGCAAGACUAAA